GAGAGACGUCUCCCCUUUAAAAUUUCGCACAAAAACAGUGAUCAAACCACGUAACGACUGAAAUAUUCGCGCUAAACGAUGCCUCGGCCGACACGUGAAUCUUACGGUGAUCAAAAGCCACCUUUUUCAUAUAUAGCCCUGACCGCGAUGGCGAUCUGGAGUUCCCCGGAGCGUAUGCUGCCGCUGUCGGAGAUCUACCGGUUCAUCACAGAUCGGUUCCCGUACUACCGGCGCAACACGCAGCGCUGGCAGAACUCGCUGCGACACAACCUGUCCUUCAACGACUGCUUCGUGAAGGUGCCGCGCCGCCCCGACCGGCCCGGCAAGGGCGCGUACUGGACCCUGCAUCCCCAGGCGUUUGACAUGUUCGAAAACGGCUCCUUGCUUCGUCGGCGAAAACGUUUUAAGCUGCACAAAGGUGAAAAAGACAGCCUAAAUGCAGAAUUGGCAGCGCUCGCAAGCUUCAACAGAGCUUUCUUGGCACGACAAGCAAGCGCUCCUCCAACACCAACGAAUGCUUCUAGUGGUGGACUGUAUCCAUCAGCGUCGACAUACAUGUCACGGUUGAGCCCAGAAUCAACAGAAGCACCGGAUACAGCAGCCUUAUUACCUGUGGCACCUCGACCGAGAAGGGCGUUCACUAUAGACGCGUUAUUAGAGCCCGAUCCUCGUCGCUCGUCGCCAUCUCCGCCUCUGCAGCUACCGCCACUACAGCCUCACUGCCCCCUGCCCCUGCCGGCCCCGUACCUGCUCGCCGCGCAGAGAUACCACGCAGAACUACUAGCGGGAUUACAGCAAUCUUGUCUACCACCUCUCUGGACAUGGCGGGAAUCAAAUCAAUUUUCACAUUACACACUAAACUCAUGAAUGGAGCCAGUGUGUUUAUUAAGAAGAUCUCAAGUAACUAAUUAUAAGGACCACAUAUGGACAGUUCGCUACGUAAAUAGUAUUAGAUGUUAGGAAUGUGACGUCAAACAUUAGAGCCACAGGAUCUUAGUUGUUUAAAGGAAACGGGUGACAUUUUUGGGGCAAAACUCAUUCGUCUAAGUUAUUUGAAUGACUGUUUAGGGCACCAAUAUAGUGACAAGAGAGGCGGCAGCGGGCUCCAGA